rnacentral:lncRNA from 1 species
UUGGGCUUGUGGUCCGGUGGUGAACCAUUGCCCUUAAAGUCAAGUAUGACUAUGAGGGCAAUGGUUCGAGUCCCCACGGAUUCAAACUCCCUCAAUUAAUUAUAAUUGUGUGGAGAUUGUUUAUAACGUCUUUCUCCCUUGCGAAAUGUGAGUGGAGUCGAGACAUCCCUCUUCCUUGAGGGGUAUUUGGCUGGGCAUGUACUUCAUAGAAUAAAAAUGUAAUAAUGUAAGUUCCAAGUAUAUAUCUGAUUGUAAAUAUUAGUGUAAUGAUAUGUUGUCAUUUAUAAAUAUCUCUGUGUAAUACAGUAAUCUGAUGCUUAAUCAGUUUCAAAAAAAAAAAAAA